rfam:Trichinella spiralis unplaced genomic scaffold Scfld1670, whole genome shotgun sequence.
UUUUGGGUCGGAUUCAGGCGUCACGGAGCAACGUUUGGCAAAUGUUUGCUGCCGACAGUAAUGCUGUUUGUUGUUUUUAAAAGCAACGAACAAUAAACGCGGCUUGUGGAAGAGGUAAUUGUGAUGAAAAGUUUUGCUUUUGUCUCAAUUGCCGUGCCAUUGCCGCAUCUCUCGGAUGAAUGUUGUUGUUGACAAGAUGAAAAGCAUUGUUCUGCGUUCAAUUGUAAUGGGUCUGUUGGUUCCGUUGCGUUCGUGGGUUUCGGCUCACGAUUUGUCUGGUACGUCGGGAAAAAAGUCAAUUAUGAAUGUAAUUGAUCUGACUACCGUGCGUAACGGAAUUCAAAUGUGUGUUUGAUGGACUUUAUUUGCAAUCGGCGCUCAAUGUGUUUUCUUAUAUCGGUGGCGUCAAUGUUAGCCUCCCAUCCGACCCGUCUUGAAACACGGACCAAGGAGUUCAGUAGGCACGCGAGUCGUUGACGUUUUUCAUUGAACAGUCGAAGGCGAAAUGAAAGUGUUAAUGAAAAUGAACUGUACUUCUUUAUGGAGUGCUGUUCAAUUUUUCAACAUGAUCGUCCUUUUUUGUGCUUAAUUGUGCAAAAUAAUAGAUGUAUGGGGACGCGCAGUGUGGUGCCGUUGAAUAGUCGCACUGUUCUCUCUUUCUCUUCGGGGUUGGAGGAACAAUUGUCGAUCAGUCGGUUUCGGAGCGUGCACACUGGUACCCGAAAGAUGGUGAACUAUGCUUGAGCAGAAUGAAGCCAGAGGAAACUCUGGUGGAAGUUCGUAGCGGUGUUGACGUGCAAAUCACUCGUCUGACUUGAGUGUAGGGGCGAAAGACUAAUCGAACCAUCUAGUGAAUCCACCACA